GAUGAACGCUGGCGGCGUGCCUAAUACAUGCAAGUCGAGCGAACAGACGAGGAGCUUGCUCCUCUGACGUUAGCGGCGGACGGGUGAGUAACACGUGGAUAACCUACCUAUAAGACUGGGAUAACUUCGGGAAACCGGAGCUAAUACCGGAUAAUAUAUUGAACCGCAUGGUUCAAUAGUGAAAGACGGUUUUGCUGUCACUUAUAGAUGGAUCCGCGCCGCAUUAGCUAGUUGGUAAGGUAACGGCUUACCAAGGCGACGAUGCGUAGCCGACCUGAGAGGGUGAUCGGCCACAUGGGAACUGAGACACGGUCCAGACUCCUACGGGAGGCAGCAGUAGGGAAUCUUCCGCAAGGGGCGAAAGCCUGACGGAGCAACGCCGCGUGAGUGAUGAAGGUCUUCGGAUCGUAAAACUCUGUUAGUAGGGAAGAACAAAUGUGUAAGUAACUAUGCACGUCUUGACGGUACCUAAUCAGAAAGCCACGGCUAACUACGUG
rnacentral:rRNA from 1 species